rfam:Schistosoma mansoni strain Puerto Rico chromosome 2, complete genome
AUCCAGGUGAUGAGUCCCAAAUGGGACGAAACGCGCGUCAUGGGU